CGAUUGUUUGGGGGCAGUCGUGGUAGGUGCUCGAUCUCUAUGCUUUACUGAUACAUUUUGUGUUAUAUCAGGCCGAGAUAUGGCUUCCGAAGACGCCGAAAACAAAGAUAUGGAGGUUAACGUUUUGGACGAACUCCUGGAGAACGCCGAUGACGAUGACUUGGCGGCGGAACUCAAGGACGAAGAGAAGAAGUGUGGAAAAAAGACGCCCGUCAGUGCAGUGACUCCGCCACUGGUGAAAGCCACCCUCGCCACCAGCGCUAUCCCAAAGAAGAAAAGCACCCCCAAAGCGAAGAAACCGCCUUCCGUCGAAGUGACGGUUUCGCCGAAAAAGGCCACGCCUGCGGCCAAGACCCCGGCUCCAAAAAGCUCGGUGCCCGCUGCUAAAAAGAAGGCGGUGGUUUCCGGAUCGACUGCUGAGUCGGUCGCCGCUCCAGUUCAGAACUCGGCGGUCGCCCAGACGGCUCUGGAUCUGAGCACAUCCGCUGCCGCACAAGCCAAGCCGAGCUCGCAGCCCAAGCUCGUUCAGAAGAUUCCGACCAAGAUCACAAAGUCAUCUGGUCCUGGCGAGAAAGGCAUGACGGUGAAGGCGAAACCCGUCGUCUCGGCCACCGGGGAGCCCAAGAUGUCUCCCGAGGACCUCCUUGCCUCCGAGGCGGCGCCUGCCAAAGGCAUGGUCAUCAAGAAGACAGUGGCCAAGAAGAUCCUGACUACCGUCCAGACUCCAAACAAGAUUGUGAAGAAGCUGGUUGCAGUCAAGCCAGGCUCAAAAAAGUCGCCCGACACCGCUGCAGUUGCAAAGCCAAGGUCGGACAAAGCCGUCCUGCCUUCCAAGACGGCAGUUCCCGUCCCGCCCCCGUCCAAGCACUCACCGGACGAAGACCCCGACCGGCUGCAUGUCACGCCAACUGCGGAGGAGCUCCAGGUGGCGGAAGACACCGCCGUGCCUCCGCCAAUGGUUGCGUCGUCUGCUGCUGUUCCAGCGCUGUCUUCGGAGUCCAUCGCGGCCAUUGUCUCCGGCGGGGCCAAGCCGGGGGGCGGCGGCCCUGAGAAGCGGCACAAGAACCCAGACUACGAUACGCGGAGCGAGGCGUCGUCAUCGGAGCACGAGAGCUGCUCCUGCAGCCUGGGGUCGAGCACCUCAAGGUCACGUUCAAGGUCGCGCUCGAGGUCGCAGUCCUUCUCUGGCUCGUCGUCCCUGGCGUCGGGCCCCACCGAACACUCCCCGAGGCAGCACGUUUCGAGGAAGCGGCGUCACUCCCCAAUUGUCUACGACCGGAAGAACAGGAGUGCCGAAAGAGCCCAGAAACGUUCCAGGUUCUCAUCUUCGAGCAGAAGAGAGCACUCUGAACCCUCGGACCAUCACCUGGUGAAGUACUUCUUCCGCAACGCCAGAUUCUUUUUGGUGAAGAGCAACAACCACGAGAAUGUGGCACUCUCCAAAGCCAAGGGAGUCUGGUCAACCCCACCACAGAACGAGGCAAAGCUGAAUCAAGCCUUCAGAGAGUGUAAGAAUGUCAUCCUGGUGUACUCUGUCAAAGAGAGUGGAAAGUUCCAAGGUUUUGCUCGUCUGGCGUCCGAGUCCACCCACAACUGCCCGCCGAUCCAGUGGGUGCUGCCCCCGGGUCUGAGUGCCAGGGCUCUGGGAGGGGUCUUCCACGUGGACUGGAUCUGCAGGAGGGAGCUGCCAUUCACCAAGACCACUCAUUUGUACAAUCCGUGGAACGAAGGGAAGCAGGUCAAGAUCGGAAGGGACGGACAGGAAAUCGAGCCCCGGGUGGCGGAAGAGCUGUGCCGCCUGUUCCCUGUGGACGAGCUCAUUGACCUCCGCACCAUCCUCCAUCGUAGUGGGCGCUCGUCGCGCCGCAGGCACCACUCUCCGUCGCGCCGUUCGUCAUCGCGCCACCGGCGUCACCACCGCGGCGGCGGCGGUAGCAACGAGGAUGCGCGCCAGCGGCACACUCUGGCGAGGUUAGCCGCCCCACGCCGCUGCCACUUGCCGUGGACUCUAUUGUUUGCCUGUGCCUGCGGGACUGUCACCUGACCACGGCCGUGCAGAGAGCCUGCGUGGUCUGGUCUUGUGCGGACGCUGAGUUCUUCGGCGGGUGCUCCGAAAAGGUUCUUCGGCGAAUGAAAAGGGGACUUGCGCUUUGGAGUGCGGUUUCCUCGCAGGAGACGGGGAGAUCUGCGUUUCGGUUCUUAGAUGAGCACAAACGCGGCGUCCUCAGACGGGUUCUUCAGAGGGGCUCUACACCGAGUGAAAGGGGACUUCCGCUUCAGUGUUCUUCCCUUGUUGAGAGUUCUGCCAGCACUAGUGCGUGUUCUUGGAGAACUUGGAUGCGGCAUUCUAAGAUCUUCUUAGAAAGAAAGGUUCUUCAGAUGGGUUCUAUGUUGAGUGAAAGGGAACUUUUGCUUCAGCGUGUGUUCCUUGUGGUAGAGGGAGCUGCCAGCACUAUAUGCGCGCUCUUGGAGAUAGACACAGUGUCCCCAGACAAGGUUUUAAGAAGAAAAAGGUUCUUCGAUGGGGUUCUACAUUAAGUGAAAGGGGACUUUUGCUUAAGUGCCUUUUUUCUUGGGUAGAGGGGCCUGCCGGUGCUAUAUGUGUGUGUUCUUGGGAGGACUUGGACGCGGUUUCCUCAAAAGGGUCUUAAUAGGCAAAAGUUCUUCAGGAGAUAUUCUAAGAAGGAAAUGUUUUUCAAUCAAGUACUACCGGAAAUGAAAGAAGACUUCGCUAUAGUGUUCGUGGAGGGACUUGGAUGUGGCUUCCUCAGACGGGAUUUAAGAUGAAAAGUUCUUCAAGGGAGGUUCUAAGAAGGAAAGGUUCUUCAGGGGGGUUCUACACCGAAUGAAAGAAGACUUUCGCUUUAGUGUUAUUGAUGGCCGGUCCUAGGUGCCCGUUCUUGGAAGGACAUGGACGCGAUGCUCUUGGAGGGGUUCUAAGCGGGCAAGGUUCUUCAGAGGGGUUCUACACCGAGUGAAAGAAGACUUCCACUUCAGUGUUCUUUUGUUGGGGUUGCCCACUUCAUGUGCAGGUUUUUGGGAAGACCUGGAUGCAUUCUCGUCAGAUGAGUUCUAAUGAAGGAAGGGUUUACAUUGGGGCAUUACACUGCAAAAUGUUGUUUUAUUUCUGAAAGAGGGGCUGCUGAUACCAUUUUUGGGUUGUCAGACAGAUGGGGGAGAGGGGGUUGGGGGGAAUGUCAGCCAAUGGUUCUAAGAACGGAUCUUAUGCCCAGUUGGAGGGGAACAGUCUAAGCUGUGUGAUGAAAGGUGGUUGCAGACUGCUCUAAUGGAGGGAGGGGCUCUUAAGUUCUGAGAAGCAUCCAGCAAAAGUGGAGGGAUUAUACAUCUGAGCUGGUGUAGGGGUUCUCUGAGGGGUCAUAACCCACUGGGUGGGAAGUUUUUGGCCUUUUAAAGCUACUUUAGUCCUUUAUUAAUGAAUGAAUAAUCAAAAACAGAGUGUUAGAUUUUUUUUUUUUUUUGAUGGGGCUUGCAAGUUGCAGUGAGGCUGCCAAUAAGCUACUUUUGGGGACUCUUCAGUUACAUGGGACUUGCUACAGAGGGAAUUAGGGUACUGCUUUAGGGAACUACACUAGGUGAAACAUAGCUGGGGUUUUUGGACUGUAUGUGUUUCUGAUAACCCAACCGUUUCUCUUUCUUCCCGUGUUGCCGUGCGGGGCCCAUGACAAACUCUCUUUCGCCUUGUGCACACAUACCCCCAAUCUCCGUCGGGACUUUUCCCCUUCUGCCUCUCGCGGCUGCGGCCUUCCCGAGAGCUCCAAGGGCCGUACCGUGAAAGAAAGUUUAGCUUCGGAAGGAAGGUGGGGGGGCGUUUGGCGGGACUUUGGACGUUUUCGACAACCCAGCUAACACCCCCUCUGUCUCUGCCCGGACUGUGCGGUGGCCUGUGCAGCGAAAGUGUCGAGGCGGACGGAUGUGGCAGCGGGUCGGAACCCGCGGCGAAACCCCGUGUUUUGUGGUGGGGGUGGGUUCAGAAGUGCAGAUGGACAGAUGCCGCGACCGCUGGACUUUCCAGCCAAGUCGGCCGGCCAGUGUAGAAGAAAAGGUGGCGCUCUUUUUUUUUUGUUUCUGUCGCUCGCUGUUCCCAAACUUUUGGCCUCCUGUGCCAGUGAGUGACGUGAGCAGACGGACGUAAAGUGCGAAAGUCUCGGAGACUUUGAGUGGGGGUUGCGUUGGCUUGUGCCGUGCGGCUGCAUAGUAGACGGUCGCACGCUAGCCACAGCUCCCGCUCUCCGAGGCCAAGACACCGUAGAGACAGUGCGGAAGAGGGAUAUCGCCUGGCUCGUCGUGUCCGGUAUUCGGGCGAGCACGA